AUUGAACGCUGGCGGCAUGCCUUACACAUGCAAGUCGAACGGUAGCGGGCCUUCGGGUGCCGACGAGUGGCGAACGGGUGAGUAAUGCAUCGGAACGUGCCAUUGAGUGGGGGAUAACGUAGCGAAAGUUACGCUAAUACCGCAUAUUCUGUGAGCAGGAAAGCAGGGGACCGCAAGGCCUUGCGCUCUUUGAGCGGCCGAUGUCAGAUUAGCUAGUUGGUGAGGUAAAGGCUUACCAAGGCGACGAUCUGUAGCGGGUCUGAGAGGAUGAUCCGCCACACUGGAACUGAGACACGGUCCAGACUCCUACGGGAGGCAGCAGUGGGGAAUUUUGGACAAAUGGGGGCAACCCUGAUCCAGCCAUGCCGCGUGAGUGAAGAAGGCC
rnacentral:rRNA from 1 species